AGCAGUAUUGAACUGAAGAGUUUGAUCAUGGCUCAGAUUGAACGCUGGCGGCAGGCCUAACACAUGCAAGUCGAGCGGAUGAAGGGAGCUUGCUCCUGGAUUCAGCGGCGGACGGGUGAGUAAUGCCUAGGAAUCUGCCUGGUAGUGGGGGAUAACGUCCGGAAACGGGCGCUAAUACCGCAUACG
rnacentral:rRNA from 1 species